AUCCAAGAAAGUUUGGGUUCCAAAAGGAACAUCAAGUACUAACCCUAAAGGACCCAACAUAGUUUGGGUACCUAAAGCUUAUUCUUGAUCUUGAUUGCAGGGGUGUCUUGCAGCUAAUAAGGUGGAUAAACGAUGGUAUCUAGAUAGCAGCUGUUCAAGACACAUGACAGGUGACGUAGAAUAAUUUAUCACCUUGGAAUCUAAGAAGGGUGGAGUAGUAACCUAUGGAGACAAUGGAAAAGGAUUUAUCAUUGGAAAGGGUAAAAUUUUUAUUACUCCAUCUACCUUUAUAGAAAAUGUCUUAUUAG
rnacentral:lncRNA from 1 species